AAGAGAGGAUGAUAGAAGGUUCUGGGUUUUUAAUUCUAUUUGAUUUUUUAUUAUUUUUGUUUCAUAAUGGGUUGAUGAAGAAGGGGAGGAGUUUUUGGUGAAGAUGAUGGAAGAAGGGGGAUGAAGAUGAUGAAAGAAAGAAGAAAGGGACUAAAGUGAAAGAAACUUAGAAAGAUAAUGUUGACUUUUAUUAAUUGGAUUAACGUCCGUUAGAGGUUUUUAACGUCAGGGACUAAUAUGACUGAUUUUUGCCACAUUUGGGGACCGCGAGCCUAAUAAAAUUCUUCCAGGGACGAUUUUGAAGUCGGUGGGAACAUUUAGGGAUCAAUGUGACCAUUUACCCGUUUUACUGAAUGAGAGUUUGUUCUCAAAUUUCUUUAUUAAUAAAUAAUUUUAUGAAAGUGAAUAUAACCAUACCACUAUCCAUCAUUUUCGAGUUAAAGAUUGACUAAUUCUAAAUCUAAAUAACAAUAUAUAUGGUCAUUAAUGAAUCAUGGACCCGAUCAACACCAUGACUGUAACUGUCUCCACACUAUUCAAUAUUCAAUCCACCAUUUCCUCACAUGGUACUCUCUCUCUUUCUCUCUUUCUCUUUAAAUUCUUGGUGUGCACUCACAAACACAUCACAACACUAAAUAGAUUCAUUCAACUCUCAAUUCCAUCCCUGAGAUCGUAGAGACAUCACUAAUAAACAACAUUUUGCAAUGCCUUCCUUGAUUUAAGUUCUUUUGAUCUCUUGCUCAAGAUUAUUGUGCUGUCUCAUUUCCUGAGUUUGAUAAAGCCAUAGAAGGAUGACUUGUGUAUGGUUCUGUAUCUAUACACGUUGUCCUACAACGAAUGUGAUUUCUUUAAUUAAUUUCACGGAUAUCAGCCAAUAUUGUGAUUGUGAGGCAACUUUCAGUAUGGAUAUAGGGUUGUCUCUACCGCCACACCCACUACCUAAAUAUGUCUAUUGUGCUCAUUAAUUGGCUGAAUUUGAUGUCAAACCCACAGAAGUAAAUAUGGAGGAGCUCCAUUAACAAGUGGAAAACCUCGGCAAAAAUUAUAAAUUCACGCGAAUACUAGAUACUGAAGAACGAUCAAGAAGUGAUGCUUCUAUGUCUAAGUUGAUAUGAAGGGAGCAAUGACUUACAAACACACUUGAAGCGUAUAAGAGAUUUCACGGACAACCUCAACAAAAUUUCCUCUAUCAAUUCCUCAGGGAGACGAGGGUUCAGCAUUUUCUCCCUAUUCGUAGCCACAAUCUAUAGCACAAUGUUCUUUUGCUCAUGUUGCUACAGUAGUUUUGUUGGUUUCGGUUUAAAAAAUUCCAGUUAUAUAUGCAGUAUUGAAAC